CAGCAUGGAGUCUGGAGCCCCUGCUUCGCAUCCACCACGAUUUCUGCAAAACCGAGCUGUGGGCUGAAAACACUUGCCCAGAGGCUCCCCAGGGAGGGGCCUGCGUCCAUCAGUGUGGGAGGCCACGGGAUUGCCAUCCCGAGCCCUGGACCAGAGAAGCCCCACGCUACCUUCUGACCUUGUCCCCUCUCCACACUGUGAAGCUCCAGCAUCCCUGUGUACCUCUAGCUCGUAGAAAGCCUCUCAGUAUGUUGCCUGGACUGAUCUUGAGCUCCUGCGUUCAAGCAACCCCGGUCCUCCUGCAUCAGCCUCCGGAGUAACCCGGAAUAGAGGCAAAUGGCCACCA